rnacentral:rRNA from 1 species
GACGAACGCUGGCGGCGUGCCUAAUACAUGCAAGUAGAACGCACAGUUUAUACCGUAGCUUGCUACACCAUAGACUGUGAGUUGCGAACGGGUGAGUAACGCGUAGGUAACCUGCCUGGUAGCGGGGGAUAACUAUUGGAAACGAUAGCUAAUACAGCAUAAUAUUAAUUAUUGCAUGAUAAUUAAUUGAAAGGUGCAAUUGCACCACUACCAGAUGGACCUGCGUUGUAUUAGCUAGUAGGUGAGGUAACGGCUCACCUAGGCGACGAUACAUAGCCGACCUGAGAGGGUGAUCGGCCACACUGGGACUGAGACACGGCCCAGACUCCUACGGGAGGCAGCAGUAGGGAAUCUUCGGCAAUGGACGAAAGUCUGACCGAGCAACGCCGCGUGAGUGAAGAAGGUUUUCGGAUCGUAAAGCUCUGUUGUAAGAGAAGAACGGGUGUGAGAGUGGAAAGUUCACACUGUGACGGUAUCUUACCAGAAAGGGACGGCUAACUACGUG